ensembl:lncRNA
AAAAAACAAACUGCACCGCCUGGGAGGGGAACUGUAGCCCUGGCCAAAUACAGCAAUUAAGUAAAUGCCUACACGCAGAGAUAGAAAAGACUAGUGGUAAAAAGAAAGUCCUGCGCAUGUACGAAUACGUAAGUUUCUUUGUACCAUGGCAGGAGGAAAGUAAAAAGCGUGAAGAGAAAAGAAACAAAAAGCAAAAUAAACAAAGCGAAAAGCCACCUACCGAAACCACCAAUCCUCCUCUUUGUCAACCACAUCCCUCAGCCCCGGGUCCCCCUGAGACUGAGCAACCAUACCCCCCAAAUCCUUAUCCCCCUGUUUCAAAAAAUCCCUUUGUGAAACCACAAGACCCUUAUGUCUCAGCGAGACAACAACUGGACCUAAUGACCCGCGAAGACCCACCGCCAUGGCCUCCAGGCCCGUUAGGGCAAUUUCCGUUAAUUCAGGCGCCAAACCCAGAUUACGGAAAAAUAGGAGAAACAAAACAAAAAGAAAACGAGUCUGCCUCUGACUUCCUAGACAGACUACGACCAGUCUUUAGACAAAACUCAGGCCUACCUACAUGUGUGCAAGCCUGUGCAGCAGCAGCAGAGGCUGUUAAAAAAUCUGCCGACAUUGUUUUGGGACACAAGCUGAUUAUCAAGGUCCCACACGCAGUAACUUCAAUACUACUACAGGCUAAUCUUUCUUAUCUAACACAUGCAAGACAGCUCUCCUACGUAGGCAUCCUGCUCUCACAGUCACACAUCACUGUUGAAAAGUGUGGUCAGCUAAACCAAGGCACCCUGCCCUCAACAAAAGCAGAGUGGAUGACAAAACUACUGGAAAACAAAGAAAUAGUUUUGAGCAACCAACUGCCGCGUGAUUCUCUCCCAGUCUCUUCCAGGUCCUGCUCACAACACCCACAGCAUGCAAGAUUGCUGAACGACCCUCGUGGAUUCAUCAAAGCCACACAAAGAAGGUUGAACCAAUCCAAGACCCACCAACAUCUCCUUAAAGUGAGUGAUAAGUUUAGACUCUGGUCCUCCCCAACCUCUAGUGUUC